UACGUAGGGGGCAAGCGUUGUCCGGAUUUAUUGGGCGUAAAGAGCGUGUAGGUGGCUUUACAGGUCCGCUGUGAAAACUCGAGGCUCAACCUCGAGCUGUCGGUGGAAACCGUGUGGCUAGAGUCCGGAAGAGGAGAGUGGAAUUCCCGGUGUAGCGGUGAAAUGCGCAGAUAUCGGGAAGAACACCCGUGGCGAAGGCGGCUCUCUGGGACGGUACUGACGCUGAGACGCGAAAGCGUGGGGAGCGAACAGG
rnacentral:rRNA from 1 species